rnacentral:rRNA from 1 species
UACGAAGGGGGCUAGCGUUGCUCGGAAUCACUGGGCGUAAAGCGCACGUAGGCGGAUUGUUAAGUCAGGGGUGAAAUCCUGGAGCUCAACUCCAGAACUGCCUUUGAUACUGGCGAUCUUGAGUCCGGGAGAGGUGAGUGGAACUCCGAGUGUAGAGGUGAAAUUCGUAGAUAUUCGGAAGAACACCAGUGGCGAAGGCGGCUCACUGGCCCGGUAUUGACGCUGAUGUGCGAAAGCGUGGGGAGCAAACA